CGGGGUGAGUAAUGUCUGGGAAACUGCCUGAUGGAGGGGGGUAACUACUGGAAACGGUAGCUAAUACCGCAUAACGUCGCAAGACCAAAGAGGGGGACCUUCGGGCCUCUUGCCAUCGGAUGUGCCCAGAUGGGAUUAGCUAGUAGGUGGGGUAACGGCUCACCUAGGCGACGAUCCCUAGCUGGUCUGAGAGGAUGACCAGCCACACUGGAACUGAGACACAGUCCAG
rnacentral:rRNA from 1 species